AAUAGGAUCAUCUGAUUGGAGUGUUUUUUCACAUUGACAAUGGAAUGUAAGUUGACCAAUUGGAUGGUCUAGAUUGAUUAACUGACCACAUGUCCAAUUUCAACUCAUUGUGCUUGAAGCUCUAGCACUAUCUUAUUUAUUUAUUGCUUAAUUGCGGCUGAUUUACUUUGUUUUGCUUUAUGACUGCUACAAGAUGAUCCUGUUUGUGUUAUUGGUCAAGGUGAUGGCAAGAUUCUUAUUACAGAUCUAUGGGUUGAUGGAAAGUUUUUACAUUAAGUAUAUCGAAUUUGUUGCAAUUAUUUGGUUCUCAUUCUACAAAAAGAAAAAGUUGCAUGAUAGUUUCAAAUGAAGAUAUUGGGCUAACAGGUAUGUGGAUCUCAACUAGAUAGGCAGUGCAGGUGGAUCCUCUCCCGCCAAAUAAAUCCAUUACAUUUCCAGGCCUUAACACGCUUUCAGGAAGUCACCAACAUAUAUUGCCAAGAAAAGAAAUCUACAUUGUGCCAAAUGUUUAUCAUCAAUGCUGACCCUGGUUUUAGGCUGCUGUGGAGCACAGUGAAGUCUUUUAUUGAUACAAAAACCACUUCAAAGAUUCAUGUACUCUCAAUGAGGCUUUUCUUCUAUUUGUAUUUAAUUAAUUAAUGUUCCGUCUUCUAGAAAUAUUGUGACACUGUCUAGCAGUAGUUUUUGACAUGCUUCUUUAAUUUGGAAGAGCAGGGUUCUCAGAGUUUGAUGAAUAUGUUCCCAUGGUAGACAAAGCUAUGGAUUCAAGCUGGAAGAAAGAAGUGUCCCAUCAAAAGCUCCCGUCUCCUAAAAGUAUGCAAGUAUAUAUUAGAUUUCAUUAGGGACUUGUAGGCUUUUGCAAGUCAAUGGUUAUAUGCUAUUAUAUGAGGUAUCAUAUUUAGUGGAUUCCAUUUAUGUGCAUGUAUUUGUCAUAUGAGGUAUCAUAUAAUGCUUUGGCAGGGAGUUGUUAUUUUCAGUAUGAUUGAACUUUUUAGUUUGAUGAAUAGGAUUCUUAUUAAACAAUCAA